rnacentral:rRNA from 1 species
GAUGAACGCUGGCGGCGUGCCUAAUACAUGCAAGUCGAGCGAACCACUUCGGUGGUGAGCGGCGAACGGGUGAGUAACACGUAGGUGAUCUGCCCAUCAGACGGGGACAACGAUUGGAAACGAUCGCUAAUACCGGAUAGGACGAAAGUUUAAAGGUGCUUCUGGCACCGCUGAUGGAUGAGCCUGCGGCGCAUUAGCUAGUUGGUAGGGUAAAGGCCUACCAAGGCAACGAUGCGUAGCCGACCUGAGAGGGUGAACGGCCACACUGGGACUGAGACACGGCCAAGACUCCUACGGGAGGCAGCAGGAGGGAAUCUUCGGCAAUGGGCGAAAGCCUGACCGAGCAACGCCGCGUGAAUGAUGAAGGCCUUCGGGUUGUAAAAUUCUGUUAUAAGGGAAGAACGACUUUAGCAGGAAAUGGCUAGAGUGUGACGGUACCUUAUGAGAAAGCCACGGCUAACUACGUGCCAGCAGCCGCGGUAA